rnacentral:lncRNA from 1 species
AAAUAUUGCUUCUGUGAUUGAAUAAAUUAGAACCGAGUGAAGGCAUGCAACUCAGCACCCGAAAUUUAGAAUCCACAGCUGAAGUUUUUGUAGGCAUUUUGUAAAGGGGGAGAUUAUAUUAUAUUUGACUUGGUCUUGGGGAUUAGAUAGAAGGAGCAGCUAUUUUCCAUUAAUACAUCUUUAAGGUAAGAAUUAAAUACCUUUCUUUGAUAAAUUUGAUUCAUUUAUUACAUCUCUUAACUCUUCAACAUCGUGGGAUUCAUAGAUUUUUGAAGAUAAUCUCAAGGACAUUUCAAGAAACCCAAAUCUUGAAACUUUUAGAGUUUGACAAAGAGGUAAUUUCUUCACUCCAAUCUUAUGUACCAUACUCCACGGGCGUAGUAGAGUAUAUUUAUGAAGUUAUAUUUGUAUUUAAACAUCUAUUCAUAAAACCCUAGAAGCUAGUCUUGAAAUUGAAAAGUUGGUUGGUAAGAAUGAUGAAUAGUGAUGGGUGUUGUUUGAACGAUGUUAUUUUGAGUUUAUAGUGGAAUGACUAGAUUCCAUAACAAGUUUAAUGAAUAAGUUGGAGUUAAAAUUCAAGGAUUGUCAUUCAAAUAAUCAAAUGAGGAUUUUUGUUAAACUUACAAGAUUAAAUUUAAGUGUUAGACAUUUAGUUGGUUUAGUAGGUAUCGUUGUGAUUCGUUCUUGAAUUAUGUGAGUUCGUAUAUGUAGAUCGUGACUCAUUGACGUUAUUGGAACAUUUGUGAUAAGGUUGGAAGCAUUUUGAGGUACGUUGAAACUUACUACCCUCAGAACUUUUCUCCAAACUCAUAUCGAAACACGAUUAAACUGAGUUUCAAAAUGUGAGUCCUAGCUUGUGGGGACGAGUGAGUUGGGAUUUAUUUUAUCUUAAUUGAAGAAAAAAAACUAAAUAAAUAAGGAAUAGAACUUGUAGUAUUUUGAAAUGAAAAUACAUGAGUUGCAAAAUAUCUUGGAUAUAGCUAUUCUCAAAUAGUUGAUUUGGCUAUAAAUAUCAUCAUUGAUAAAUGUAAAGGUUUUGGGAGUUACUUAAAUUCACCGAGAUUGACCUUGGACAUUUUUCCUCAUUAGGUCAUGAAACUACAUGUGCCGGUGUAGGCGUAGAACCUACUUUACGAUUGGGGACUACAACAGAGUACUUCCCAUUAGGGGUACUAUUGUGCUACUUUAUUAGCAUGGUUGAGUCGAUUUGUGCGGCACAACGAUGAGACGACCUGAGCAAGUAGGGUAUAUGAUACUUGCCGCUAUGUACAUAACCUAGUUGACCUUCUUUCGUGUCGGUGAUGGUAUAGUGAUCCUGGUAAAUGAAAAAUCUAACAUGAUUUUGCAAAGAUCAAUGAUAAAGGAAGACUUUGAAAUAUGUUUUACCAUAUUAUUUUAUUGUACUUUUAAAUUGUUAAUUGAUAUGAAUACUUCUUUCUUGAUAUCAAUUAUUAUUGCAUAUCUUAUGUCUUCUUAAAUAUCGUCCUAUUUUCUUUUUGGGAAAUGAUUCAUGAUUCGUACUAGGCAUGUGGAGCUUAGGCCUUUCGGCCACAUUUGCAUUUUCUAUUUUCAGGGACUGGACAUGAGUAACUUGGACCGCAUGGAUAGGGUAGCUCUACAUUUUCCGUUGACGUUAUUUGGUGAGACUCCACGCUUGUAUUUGUGGAGGACUUUAUUAUAUUAAUAUCCUUUUAAGCCACCGGGUUAUGCCUUGACUGACUAUUCCAGUUCGUGUCAUAGAGAUUUCAUAGACAACAAUAGUAUUCAUUUUGGGUUGUAAUCCUAUGGUUACUUGCAUGGCGUGCAUGAACG